AGUGAACGCUGGCGGUAGGCCUAACACAUGCAAGUCGAACGGCAGCACAGUAAGAGCUUGCUCUUACGGGUGGCGAGUGGCGGACGGGUGAGGAAUACAUCGGAAUCUACUUUUUCGUGGGGGAUAACGUAGGUAAACUUACGCUAAUACCGCAUACGACCUACGGGUGAAAGCAGUGGAUCUUCGGACCUUGCGCGAUUGAAUGAGCCGAUGUCGGAGUUGCUAGUUGGGUGGGUAAUGGCCCACCAAGGCGACGAUCCGUAGCUGGUCUGAGAGGAGGAUCAGCCACACUGGAACUGAGACACGGUCCAGACUCCUACGGGAGGCAGCAGUGGGGAAUAUUGGACAAUGGGCGCAAGCCUGAUCCAGCCAGACCGCGUGGGUGAAGAAGGCCUUCGGGUUGUAAAGCCCUUUUGUUGGGAAAGAAAAGCAGCAGGUUAAUACCCCGCUGUUCUGACGGUACCCAAAGAAGAAGCACCGGCUAACUUCGUG
rnacentral:rRNA from 1 species